AAUUAUUAAAAAAUAUUUAGAAAAUAUUAUUAGAAAAUAUUUGAUACAAACUGUCAAAACAUGUCUGAAGUAAAUAAACACGAAGUGAGCUUUUCUCCACUUUUUGCCUGCUGUUAUAAGACACUUGAGAAUGAUACCCAUCAUGGAGUUUUUUGAAGAUUUUUUAAUUUCCUGUGUUAGUACUCUGUCAGGUAACAUGGAAGUCCAAGAACCUGUUUGUCCGAAUUUCUCUCCCUGGACAGAUGAGUUCUUCAUGAGCACAGUGCCAGAUCGACUGUACAUCUCUGCUGUUAUCAUACCUCUUGCUGUGGGGCUGCUUUGUGUGAUUGUGGCCAUGUUAAUGGUGAACAACCAGAAGAAAGUUCGCCAGGAAAAACUUAAAGACUUUGGUAAGAUUUUCCUCAAUUGUCACCGGUGUUCAAAGUGUAUAACAAUAUGUUGUAAAUAUUUAUUUACAUAAUUCUAUAAUUAUAUACAUAUUUUAAAAAAAUACACACACACACACACACACACACACACACACACACAUCUUCAGAACCGCUUGUCCCAUAGGGUCACAUUGUCACAGGGAACCAGAGCCAACCCGGCAACACAGGGCGUAGGGCCGGAGGGGGAGGGGACACACCCAGGACGGGACGCCAGUCCGUCGCAAGGCACCCCAAGUGGGACUCGAACCCCAGACCCACUGGAGAGCAGGACCCGGUCCAACCCACUGCGCCACUGCACCCCCUUUUAAAAAAAAUAAUUUUAUUAAUUUUAAUUUUAUUCUUAAAAUUUUUUAUCAUCUUAUUGCAAUUGGAAUUUAAAGAGAGUACUAUAUAUGGCUCUUUUUAAAUAUCUUUUAUUAUUUAUUGCGUUUAAAUUUAAAUUUGAAUAACUGAUGUUAGAUCUUUGAAAUGGUGGGUUGGACCGGGUCCUCCUCUCGGAUGGGUCUGGGGUUCAAGUCCCGCUUGGGGUGCCUUGCGACGGACUGGCGUCCCAUCCUGGGUGUGUCCCCUCCCCCUACAGCCUUAGGCCCUGUGUUUCCGGGUUAGGCUUCAGCUCCCCGCGACCUCGAAUGGGACAAGUGGUUCAGAAAAUGUGUGUGCGCGUGUGUGUAGAUCUUUGAAAGUGGUGGAAGUCGUUAGAAGGAGUAGUGUAUUAAGUAUACAUAUCCACAAAACACUAACUUUCUGUUCUUUCAUUACAGACAAUGUCGUAGGACAGUUGAAGCAGUUGCGAGAAGGUAAAAAAGUAAAAUCCCUUAAGAUUUUAACAAAUGGCUCCUUAACAUAGAGAAUGAAUCAAACAGUGAUGCAUGCUUGUAUUUUUUGCAGAGCACAGCACACAGAAGAAGAUAAAUGGUAUGAAUUUCACCAAUAAAGCAGUUCUCCACGAUACA
rnacentral:lncRNA from 1 species